rnacentral:rRNA from 1 species
AAUCUUGUGCAAUGGAGGGAACUCUGACGCAGCGACGCCGCGUGAACGAUGAAGGUCUUCGGAUCGUAAAGUUCUGUCCUCAGGGAAGAAGGACACUUAACGUGACUUGACGGUACCUGUGGAGGAAGCCCCGGCUAACUACGUGCCAGAAGCCGUGGUAAUACGUAGGGGGCAAGCGUUGUCCGGAAUUAUUGGGCGUAAAGGGUGCGUAGGCGGCCUUUUAAGUCAGAUGUGAAAGACCACGGCUUAACCGUGGGGUUGCAUUUGAAACUGGAGGGCUUGAGUAUCGGAGAGGGUAGUGGAAUUCCCAGUGUAGCGGUGGAAUGCGUAGAUAUUGGGAGGAACACCAGUGGCGAAGGCGACUACCUGGACGAAAACUGACGCUGAGGCACGAAAGCUAGGGGAGCAAACA